UACGGAGGGUGCAAGCGUUAUCCGGAUUCACUGGGUUUAAAGGGUGCGUAGGCGGAAUGAUAAGUCAGUGGUGAAAUCCUUCAGCUUAACUGGAGAACUGCCAUUGAUACUGUCAAUCUUGAGUACAUUUGAUGUGGGCGGAAUGUGUCAUGUAGCGGUGAAAUGCUUAGAUAUGACACAGAACACCGAUUGCGAAGGCAGCUCACAAAAACUGUAACUGACGCUGAGGCACGAAAGCGUGGGUAUCAAACAG
rnacentral:rRNA from 1 species